ACGUACGUCUACGAGAGGUUAGUAGUACUAUGGCUCAGGACGAACGCUGGCGGCGUGCCUAACACAUGCAAGUCGAACGGACGAGGGGAGCUUGCUCCCCAAGUUAGUGGCGGACGGGUGAGUAACACGUGAGCAACCUGCCCUUCGGAGGGGACAACAGCGGGAAACUGCUGCUAAUACCGCAUAAUGUAUCCUGGAGGCAUCUCCGGGAUACCAAAGAUUUUUAUCGCCGAAGGAUGGGCUCGCGUCUGAUUAGAUAGUUGGUGGGGCAACGGCCCACCAAGUCUGCGAUCAGUAGCCGGACUGAGAGGUUGAACGGCCACAUUGGGACUGAGAUACGGCCCAGACUCCUACGGGAGGCAGCAGUGGGGAAUAUUGGGCAAUGGGGGGCCAACCCUGACCCAGCAACGCCGCGUGGAGGAAGAAGGCUUUCGGGUUGUAAACUCCUUUGACGAGGGACGAUGAUGACGGUACCUCGAAAACAAGCCACGGCUAACUACGUGCCAGCCGCCGC
rnacentral:rRNA from 1 species